CGCCAACCGGAAGUCAAUCGAGCCGUUAUAGAUGGCGAGUCAUGGCGACAGCAGUUCUUGUUUGAAAUCUAGAACGGCAGUCAAUGAAAUUUAACGUUCGUGAUUUCAAACUAGAACGGCUGUCGCCAUCACUCGCCAUCUAUAAAGGCUCGAUUUACUUCCGGUCGGCG